rnacentral:rRNA from 1 species
ACGAACGCUGGCGGCGUGGAUAAGACAUGCAAGUCGAGCGCUGAUUUCAAGGGUAGCAAUAUUUUGAAGUCGGAGCGGCGCAAGGGUGCGUAACACGUGGGUAAUCUGCCAUGAGGUUUGGAAUAACUUGCUGAAAGGCGAGCUAAUGCCGGAUGUGACAAUUGAGAGGCAUCUUCCGAUUGUCAAAGCUGGGGACCGUAAGGCCUGGCGCUUCAUGAUGAGCCCGCGGCCUAUCAGCUAGUUGGUGAGGUAACGGCUCACCAAGGCUAAGACGGGUAGCUGGUCUGAGAGGACGACCAGCCACACUGGAACUGAGACACGGUCCAGACACCUACGGGUGGCAGCAGUCGAGAAUUUUUCACAAUGGGCGCAAGCCUGAUGGAGCGACGCCGCGUGGGGGAUGAAUGGCUUCGGCCCGUAAACCCCUGUCAUUCGCGAUCAACCCUUAUUAUUUAAAAGAUGAUAAGCUGAUAGUAGUGGAAGAGGAAGGGACGGCUAACUCUGUGCCAGCAGCCGCGGUUAAUACAGAGGUCCCAAGCGUUGUUCGGAUUCACUGGGCGUAAAGGGUGCGUAGGUGGUCAGGUAAGUCGAUGUGAAAUCUCGGAGCUCAAACUCCGAAACCGCAUUGGAAACUACCUGGCUCGAGGAAUGGAGGGGGGACUGGAAUUCUCGGUGUAGCAGUGAAAUGCGUAGAUAUCGAGAGGAACACCAGUGGCGAAGGCGAGUCCCUGGACAUCUCCUGACACUGAGGCACGAAAGCUAGGGGAGCAAACAGGAUUAGAUACCCUGGUAGUCCUAGCCGUAAACGGGUGCUUGCUUGCUGUAAAAGGAAUCGACCCCUUUUGUGGCGUAGCCAACGCGUUAAGCAAGCCGCCUGGGAAGUACGGUCGCAAGAUUAAAACUCAAAGAAAUUGACGGGGGCCCGCACAAGCGGUGGAGCAUGUGGUUUAAUUCGACUGCAACGCGAGAACCUUACCUAGGCUGGACAUGCACGUAGUAGAAGGAGUGAAAGUCUACGAGGUAGCAAUACCAGCGUGCUACAGGUGCUGCAUGGCUGUCGUCAGCUCGUGCCGUGAGGAUGUUGGGUUAAGUCCCGCAACGAGCGCAAACCCUGUGUCUUCAGUUAGCCAACCGGUGCAUAGCCGGAGAACUCUGGAGAAGACUGCCUCGGAUAACGAGGAGGAAGGUGGGGAUGACGUCAAGUCAGCAUGGCCCUUACGGCCUAGGGCUAGCACACGUCUACAAUGCCCGGCACAAAGGCGCAUGCAAGAUCCGUAGAUGGGAGCCAAUCCCCAAAAACCGGGCCUCAGUUCAGAUCGUAGGUCUGCAACUCGACGGCUCGUGAAGUCGGAAUCGCUAGUAAUGGCCGCAUCAGCUACGGCCGGGGUGAAUACGUUCCCAGGGCCUUGUACACACCGCCCGUCACAUCACGAAAGCCGUUUGUACCCUGAAGUCGUCGACGUCCUAACCGCAAUGAGGACAGACGGCCCGACGGUAUGACCGGUGGAUUGGGGUG